rnacentral:tRNA from 1 species
AGUUUAUGAGCUUGAAUAAGCAUUUGUUUUGAAAACAUAUGAUAGAAAUUAAAAUUUCUAUAAACUU